GUGGGGAAUAUUGGGCAAUGGGGGAAACCCUGACCCAGCGACGCCGCGUGAGGGAAGAAGGCCUUAGGGUCGUAAACCUCUGUUGUGUGGGAAGAAGAGCGUGACGGUACCACACGAGGAAGUCCCGGCUAACUACGUGCCAGCAGCCGCGGUAAUACGUAGGGGACGAGCGUUGUCCGGAUUUACUGGGCGUAAAGGGCGCGUAGGCGGUCAUUUAAGUCAGCUGUGAAAUGGUUUGGCUUAACCGGAUCAUGCGGUUGAAACUGGAUGACUGGAGGGCUGGAGGGGCAAGUGGAAUUCCCAGUGUAGCGGUGAAAUGCGUAGAUAUUGGGAAGAACGCCGGUGGCGAAGGCGACUUGCUGGCCAGCAACUGACGCUGAGGCGCGAAAGCCAGGGGAGCAAACGGGAUUAGAAACCCGGGUAGUCC
rnacentral:rRNA from 1 species